UUCUUCUUCCAUACCACCCUGAAUGCACCCAAUCUCUCCUGAUCUUGGAAACUAAGCAGGGCCGGGCCUGGUUAGAACUUGGAUGGGAGACCACCAUUCUUAGUAGGAAGAUGGUCAGG
rnacentral:rRNA from 1 species